rnacentral:rRNA from 1 species
CAGCAGCCGCGGGAAUACGUAGGGUGCGAGCGUUAAUCGGAAUUACUGGGCGUAAAGCGUGCGCAGGCGGUCGUGUAAGACAGGUGUGAAAUCCCCGGGCUUAACCUGGGAACUGCGCUUGUGACUGCACAGCUAGAGUAUGGCAGAGGGGGGUGGAAUUCCACGUGUAGCAGUGAAAUGCGUAGAGAUGUGGAGGAACACCGAUGGCGAAGGCAGCCCCCUGGGCCAAUACUGACGCUCAUGCACGAAAGCGUGGGGAGCAAACAGGAUUAGAUACCCCUGUAGUCCCUGUCUCUUAUAC